CUAGAACAAAUCAGUACGGAGCUCUUAUACUCUACAUGUUCUGUAUGGUCCUAGAAACACAUCAGUAUCAGUGUCUCCAUCUGAUUCAGUACUUUUGGGCAGUUCAGUGUCUCUGAGUUGUAGCAGUGAUGCAAACCCAGCAGUGCUGAACUACACCUGGUACAGAGAGAACGGAGAGCAGAUAGGAACCGGAGACCAUCUCAC